UCGGUGGCGAGGCCGAAUCUGAAGGAAGCCGGAGGCAAACGCACGGGCCAAGGUGCGGACGGAGGAAGGC
rfam:Thermobacillus composti KWC4, complete genome.